AGGUACUUGACGAAGGCAGAGGCGUGGCUUGCCGUUUUGGUGCUAGGCGGUGGCUAGGGUGUCAGGUAAGCCUCGGGACGAGGCGCGGAUGGUACGCCCGAGGGAGUAGCGCACAUGGGCAGUAGGGCUACGGCGCGAAAGGGCAGGGAACCCUAGGGUUCCCUGUGCUGUUUAGUUUUUUGGGCCCCAAUGGGCCGUUUUAAAUUUUG
rnacentral:lncRNA from 1 species